rnacentral:rRNA from 1 species
CCUACGGGAGGUAGCAGUAGGGAAUAUUGCUCAAUGGGGGAAACCCUGAAGCAGCAACGCCGCGUGGAGGAUGAAGGUUUUCGGAUUGUAAACUCCUUUUGUUAGAGAAGAUAAUGACGGUAUCUAACGAAUAAGCACCGGCUAACUCCGUGCCAGCAGCCGCGGUAAUACGGAGGGUGCAAGCGUUACUCGGAAUCACUGGGCGUAAAGAGCGCGUAGGCGGGAUAGCAAGUCAGAUGUGAAAUCCUAUGGCUUAACCAUAGAACUGCAUUUGAAACUGUUAUUCUAGAGUAUGGGAGAGGUAGGUGGAAUGCUUGGUGUAGGGGUAAAAUGCGUAGAGAUCAAGAGGAAUACUCAUUGCGAAGGCGACCUGCUAGAACAUAACUGACGCUGAUGCGCGAAAGCGUGGGGAGCAAACAGGAUUAGAUACCCCUGUAGUC